rnacentral:lncRNA from 1 species
UCAAGGCUAGCAAUGUGCUUUUACACAAAGAUGGGAAAGCAAGAGUUACAGAUUUUGGAUUGGCAAGAUUUGUUGAUGUUGGAGAUAGUCAUGUCAGCACAAUUAUAGCUGGCACUAUUGGGUAUGUUGCACCAGAAUAUGGUCAAACCUGGAAAGCUACUACUAAAGGCGAUGUGUAUAGCUUUGGAGUUUUGGCAAUGGAACUUGCCACAGGAAGACGAGCUGUGGAUGGUGGGGAAGAAAGUUUAGUGGAAUGGGCUAAAAGGGUAAUUGGAAAUUCUCCAAAUUCACAAAUUAUACCAGUUGUUCUACUAGGCUCUGGUUUAGCACAAGGAGCAGUAGAGAUGUAUGAGCUAUUGAGAAUUGGAAUAAGGUGCACUGCAGAAUCUCCACAGGCAAGACCAAACAUGAAGGAGGUUUUAGCUAUGCUAAUAAAGAUUUCAGGCACAAGACAGGAUUUUGUGUAUAGCUUAUCUUCUUCAUUUAAUUCAAGUUCUAUAUAUAGGGUGUUGAAUUAGACAUACAUAAACAUGUAAAUUAGACAGUGUUCUUUUUUUUUUUUUUUUUUUUAUUUUGGAUUGGCAAGAUUUGUUGAUGUUGGAGAUAGUCAUGUCAGCACAAUUAUAGCUGGCACUAUUGGGUAUGUUGCACCAGAAUAUGGUCAAACCUGGAAAGCUACUACUAAAGGCGAUGUGUAUAGCUUUGGAGUUUUGGCAAUGGAACUUGCCACAGGAAGACGAGCUGUGGAUGGUGGGGAAGAAAGUUUAGUGGAAUGGGCUAAAAGGGUAAUUGGAAAUUCUCCAAAUUCACAAAU